UUCCGGUUGAUCCUGCCGGAGGUCACUGCUAUUGGGAUUCGACUAAGCCAUGCGAGUCGAGAGGGUUCGGCCCUCGGCUGACGGCUCAGUAACACGUGGAUAAUCUGCCCUUAGGUGGAGGAUAAUCUCGGGAAACUGAGGAUAAUACUCCAUAGAUCUAGGAUGCUGGAAUGCAUCUAGAUUGAAAGCUCCGGCGCCUAAGGAUGAGUCUGCGGACUAUCAGGUUGUAGUCAGGGUAAAGACCUGACUAGCCUACGACGGAUACGGGUUGUGAGAGCAAUAACCCGGAGACGAUAUCUGAGACACGAUAUCGGGCCCUACGGGGCGCAGCAGGCGCGAAAACUUCACACUGUGCGAAAGCGCGAUGAGGGAAUCCCAAGUGUUUGCUCGUAAGAGUAAACUGUUUCUUUGUUUAAAACGCAGAGAGAGUAAGGGCUGGGUAAGACGGGUGCCAGCCGCCGCGGUAAUACCUGCAGCUCAAGUGGUGAUCAUUAUUAUUGGGCCUAAAACGUCCGUAGCCGGUUUAGUAAAUGCCUGGGUAAAUCGUGUAGCUUAACUAUACGACUUCCGGGUAGACUGCUAAACUUGAGACCGGGAGAGGCUAGAGGUACUCCUGGGGUAGAGGUGAAAUUCUGUAAUCCUAGGGGGACCACCAGUGGCGAAAGCGUCUAGCUAGAACGGGUCUGACGGUGAGGGACGAAGCCCUGGGGCACAAACCGGAUUAGAUACCCGGGUAGUCCAGGGUGUAAACGCUGCUUGCUUGAUGUUAGUUGGGCUCCGAGCCCAACUAGUGUCGGAGAGAAGUUGUUAAGCAAGCUGCCUGGGAAGUACGGUCGCAAGGCUGAAACUUAAAGGAAUUGGCGGGGGAGCACAGCAACGGGUGGAGCGUGCGCUUUAAUUGGAUUCAACGCCG
rnacentral:rRNA from 1 species